ensembl:sense_overlapping
UUUGGAGCUCCGCCCUCUCUUUGGGACCCUGCACCAUUAAGCUCCGCCCAGCGGGGGGUUCCUUGCGCGCCCGGUGAGAUGCUGCGCGGCUUUUGUGCCGGUGCGCGGUCCUCAGGGGAGCUUAGGUAGGUCUUGGGGACGGGGAUGGGGUGGUGAGGUCGCGCGGCCUGCGGCGCCUGGAUCCCGUUGCCGGGAAGGAACCGCGUUCUGCCGGUGCCUCUGCUGGAAGGCUUUCUGUUGCCCCUCUGUCGCACGUCUGGGCUCGGCGGUUGCCCCGACACACCGCGCUGUGGGCUCCGACCACCGCAGCCCUCUAGAUUCGGGUUGAAAGGAUGGAGCUACCUGGGCCCUUUCCCCAGAGCCCGAGGCUGCCGACACCCCGAGGGCGAGGGCGCGGAGAGAGGACCCGGUCCCGCGGGACAGUGAUUGGGCUCUUUUGUCUGUGCUUCAGCCAACUUGGUUUCUGCUUUCUGGGAGAGCUGGCGCACCUCCUGUACCUGUGACUUCACCAACUGGAUGUGAUUCCUGGCAGUUAUGGAGGCCUGAUCUGCUCCUGUCAAAAGACAGACAGUUGCACUGAGCACCACAGUAAGGACAGAAGUCACACAUGAAGGCCUGAGACUGGCAGCUCAGCCCUCAUGAGAUUACUCCCUGACAUCCUAUUUCCUUUGAGGAGACAGGGUGCUGGAUGCUGGAGGGCUGACUGAGGAUCCAGGCUGGGGAACACUCAUGCUAGGGGCUCACACAACCUUUACAACUCAAGCUCCAGGGGAUCUGAUUCCUGAACACUGGGGACACCUGCACUCACAUGCACAUAACGGUUAAGACAAAACCCUGUGGUCUCCCUAUACACCCCAGGCUGGCCCUGAAUUCUCCUGUCUCACCCACCAUGGCCAGGAGGAGCUACAUUUGCACAUACUGCUGUUGGGUGUAGGUUCAGCUGUCACUGCAUCUGGCGUGCACUCUAUUUACAAGUUAGUCAUAGUCCACUGUUAGAUUCGAGCCACCCUGGGUUCAGCUUGGUGUCUGUGCUGUUGACUAGGUUAUCCAGGCCAGCCCUCAGAAGAGCUCCAGCAGCGUGGGUGAGCUGCAGGUGUGCCACGCGCAGCUUGUUUCUGCAUGGGUGCCUGAGGGGGUUGUCAUGUUUGAACAACAAGCAUGUUACCCACUGAGCCAUCUCUCCUGGAAUUUUAGUUUUUGAAUAUCUAACUCUUCCCCCAAAAUAACCUGGGCUUGGUGUCCAUCUCUGAAUAGAAUUUCAACUUUCGUUAUUAUUAGUCUUCUAUAGAUUCCUUAGUUCUUUAACCUAUUUUGCAUUUAUUAAUCAGGUUUGUGGUCUUUGGAUGCUGCUUUUAUUUAAUAUUUUUCUCUUAAGGGAGAAACCAAAUGCUUUUGUACCUAGACCAUGUGCUUUAUUGAAAUGCUGUUCUUUUGGGAACACCAUCUGGUUUUUAGCUGUGUAAAGUGUCAGAUGGUGCUAAUGUUUAAAUAGCUUACUUCAAACAGUUUCUCAAGGUGAAGCACAGUGUGCAUGUGGAAGUCAGUUAAUGGGAACCAGGUCUCUCUCUCCAUUUGGGUCCCAGGGACUUGGUUCAGGUGGCCAGGCUUGGUGGCCUUUACCCGCUGAGCUCACUCAGCCCAAUUUCUCCAUCAUCUGUGGUGCUACACAAAUGGCAGAGCUCACAGUUCACAUCUGUAUGCACAGCUGGCUCCUUUUCAGUUCUGGCAAUUCUAUAUCCCUGCAGUGACUGGUCGGAGCACCUUGUUAAACAUUUCAGAAAGUGUCUCCUUGAGUGACAAACGAUGUCCUUUAUUGUAAAGUAUCACUAUUGUGAUUAGACCUUUAAAGACUGUCACAACCAAAAUCCAGUCCAGAUGCCCACUUCAGAGUUCUC